rnacentral:rRNA from 1 species
GAUGAACGCUGGCGGCGUGCUUAACACAUGCAAGUCGAGCGAAGCACUUAAGAUUGAUUCUUCGGAUGACGUCUUUUGUGACUUAGUGGCGGACGGGUGAGUAACGCGUGGGUAACCUGCCUCACACAGGGGGAUAACAGUUAGAAAUGACUGCUAAUACCGCAUAACCCGAUAGGAUCGCAUGAUCCAGACGGAAAAGAUUUAUCGGUGUGAGAUGGACCCGCGUCUGAUUAGCUAGUUGGUGAGGUAACGGCCCACCAAGGCGACGAUCAGUAGCCGGCCUGAGAGGGUGAACGGCCACAUUGGGACUGAGACACGGCCCAAACUCCUACGGGAGGCAGCAGUGGGGAAUAUUGCACAAUGGGGGAAACCCUGAUGCAGCGACGCCGCGUGAGUGAAGAAGUAUUUCGGUAUGUAAAGCUCUAUCAGCAGGGAAGAAAAUGACGGUACCUGACUAAGAAGCCCCGGCUAACUACGUG